UAUCUGAUCCGACCAACGGUUUGGUGGC
rnacentral:sRNA from 1 species